UGAGCUAGAAUUUCGGUUGCCUUACGUGG
rnacentral:piRNA from 1 species